AAGUAACCCCUUGAUAUUGUCUCUGUACAGUGCAGACCAACUGUGUGGACACAACCAUAACCAACCUGCUGGAGAAUACUGACCAGUUCACCUCGGAGGCGGCUGUGGGCACACCUUCAGGUCCAGCUAAACAAGCAGCUUCUUCCACUCCGUCUGUAACAGAAUCCACACCCAAUUUGAAGCCAGCUGCCAAACCUUUUGGGAGAACACCAAUAGACAGACACAUGUCUCUACAGGAAAGAAAAGAAGCUUUCUACGAAUAUGCAAGAAGACGAUACAUUGAAAAACAUGGACUGAACAAACAGGACGAUCUAUGACCGUGGACAAAGACACACCUGAGGAAUUGUUUAGGAAAGACAGCUGCUUAACACAAAAUCCACACAGACAAAGAAAAAAUUAUAGAGUUGACCCAGAAUGAAACAACAUUUGAGUUCACCAAACAUGCCGAGAGAAGACUGGAUUUUUUCCUUUCUUGUUUUUGUUUCUUUGUAAAUUCUUCUUGCAUGGCAAUCAUGCAUGUCUUUUUAUUUCUCUCUGCAACAGAAAACAAUUAUUUUGGUAAAUUUGUAUUAAGACCCAGUGACCUUGGCACACUUCAUAUUAUUUUUAUAUGGUCCUUGGGUAGAGGAUAGGGGAUCAGAAACAUAGGACAGUGAGCUAAAACACAAUUUGAGGUUCAUUAUGUUGUCAAGGAUACAUGUUGAUGCAAUAUCAGCUUUUAAAGACAUUAAAAAUCAUAUAGAAA